GAUGAAGAACGUAGCGAAAUGCGAUACGUAAUGUGAAUUGCAAAUUCAGUGAAUCAUCGAGUCUUUGAACGCACAUUGCGCCCCCUGGUAUUCCGGGGGGCAUGCCUGUCCGAGCGUCAUUGCUGCCCUCAAGCACGGCUUGUGUGUUGGGCCCCGUCCUCCGAUCCCGGGGGACGGGCCCGAAAGGCAGCGGCGGCACCGCGUCCGGUCCUCGAGCGUAUGGGGCUUUGUCACCCGCUCUGUAGGCCUGGCCGGCGCUUGCCGAUCAACCCAAAUUUUUAUCCAGGUUGACCUCGGAUCAGGUAGGGAUACCCGCUGAACUUAAGCAUAUCAAUAAGCGGAGGA
rnacentral:misc_RNA from 1 species